UCAGAAAAGGGUGCAGACGAGGAAG
rnacentral:piRNA from 1 species